GGCGUACGGUGCGAACGUGUGCACCUGCCUUUAUCUGGGGANUACCCUUUCGAAGGAAGAUUAUACCCCAUAAUAUGUUGAAUGGCAUCAUUCGACAUUGAAAACUCGGUGGAUAGAGAUGGCACGCGCAAGAUAAAUAGUGGUGAGGUAACGGGUCACCAGUCUACGAUCUUAGGGGGCUGAAGUGAUCCCCCAACUGUACUGAAACGGACCAAUCUACGGGAGGCACAGAGGAAUAUGGCAUGGGUGAAGCUGAUCCCAGCCAUCCCCGCGGUGAAGGACGACUGCCCUAUGGGUUGUAAACUUCUUUUGUAUAGGGGAUAAACUACCCUCGUGAGGGUAGCUGAAGGGUACUAUACGAAUAAGCACCGGCUAACUCCGUGCAAGCAAGCCGCGGGUUAAAUACGGGAGGGGUGCAAGCGUUAUCCGGGAUUUAUGGGUUUAAAAGGGUCCCGGUAGCGGAUCCGUAAAGUCAGUGGUGAAAUCUUCAAAGUUACUGUGAAAACUGCAUUGAUACUGGGUCUUGAAGUGUUGUUGAAGUAGCUGGGAAAUAAGUAGUGUAGCGGUGAAAAUUGCAUAGAUUUUACUUAGAACAACCAA
rnacentral:rRNA from 1 species